CGCUAGCUACAGGCUUAACACAUGCAAGUCGAGGGGCAUCAGGAAGAAAGCUUGCUUUCUUUGCUGGCGACCGGCGCACGGGUGAGUAACACGUAUCCAACCUGCCCUUUACUCGGGGAUAGCCUUUCGAAAGAAAGAUUAAUACCCGAUAGCAUAAUGAUUCCGCAUGGUUUCAUUAUUAAAGGAUUCCGGUAAAGGAUGGGGAUGCGUUCCAUUAGGUUGUUGGUGAGGUAACGGCCCACCAAGCCUUCGAUGGAUAGGGGUUCUGAGAGGAAGGUCCCCCACAUUGGAACUGAGACACGGUCCAAACUCCUACGGGAGGCAGCAGUGAGGAAUAUUGGUCAAUGGGCGCUAGCCUGAACCAGCCAAGUAGCGUGAAGGAUGAAGGCUCUAUGGGUCGUAAACUUCUUUUAUAUAAGAAUAAAGUGCAGUAUGUAUACUGUUUUGUAUGUAUUAUAUGAAUAAGGAUCGGCUAACUCCGUGCCAGCAGCCGCGGUAAUACGGAGGAUCCGAGCGUUAUCCGGAUUUAUUGGGUUUAAAGGGAGCGUAGGUGGACUGGUAAGUCAGUUGUGAAAGUUUGCGGCUCAACCGUAAAAUUGCAGUUGAUACUGUCAGUCUUGAGUACAGUAGAGGUGGGCGGAAUUCGUGGUGUAGCGGUGAAAUGCUUAGAUAUCACGAAGAACUCCGAUUGCGAAGGCAGCUCACUGGACUGCAACUGACACUGAUGCUCGAAAGUGUGGGUAUCAAACAGGAUUAGAUACCCUGGUAGUCCACACAGUAAACGAUGAAUACUCGCUGUUUGCGAUAUACAGUAAGCGGCCAAGCGAAAGCAUUAAGUAUUCCACCUGGGGAGUACGCCGGCAACGGUGAAACUCAAAGGAAUUGACGGGGGCCCGCACAAGCGGAGGAACAUGUGGUUUAAUUCGAUGAUACGCGAGGAACCUUACCCGGGCUUAAAUUGCAGUGGAAUGAUGUGGAAACAUGUCAGUGAGCAAUCACCGCUGUGAAGGUGCUGCAUGGUUGUCGUCAGCUCGUGCCGUGAGGUGUCGGCUUAAGUGCCAUAACGAGCGCAACCCUUAUCUUCAGUUACUAACAGGUUAUGCUGAGGACUCUGGAGAGACUGCCGUCGUAAGAUGUGAGGAAGGUGGGGAUGACGUCAAAUCAGCACGGCCCUUACGUCCGGGGCUACACACGUGUUACAAUGGGGGGUACAGAAGGCAGCUACCUGGUGACAGGAUGCUAAUCCCAAAAGCCUCUCUCAGUUCGGAUCGAAGUCUGCAACCCGACUUCGUGAAGCUGGAUUCGCUAGUAAUCGCGCAUCAGCCACGGCGCGGUGAAUACGUUCCCGGGCCUUGUACACACCGCCCGUCAAGCCAUGGGAGCCGGGGGUACCUGAAGUACGUAACCGCAAGGAUCGUCCUAGGGUAAAACUGGUGACUG
rnacentral:rRNA from 1 species